AGUGAACGCUGGCGGCAUGCCUAACACAUGCAAGUCGAACGGCAGCACAGUAAGAUUUUGCUCUUACGGGUGGCGAGUGGCGGACGGGUGACGAAUACAUCGGAAUCUUCUUUUUCGUGGGGGAUAACGGAGGGAAACUUACGCUAAUACCGCAUAUGAUCUACGGGUGAAAGCAGGGGAUCUUCGCAGCUUUCGCGAAUGAAUUAGCCGAUGUCGGAUUAGCUAGUUGGCUGGGUAAAGGCACACCAAGGCGACGAUCCGUAGCUGAGCUGAGAGGAUGAUCGGCCACACUGGAACUGAGACACGGUCCAGACUCCUACGGGAGGCAGCAGUGGGGAAUCUUCGGCAAUGGGCGCAAGCCUGACCCAGCCAUACCGCGUGGGUGAAGAAGGCCUUCGGGUUGUAAAGCCCUUUUGUUGGGAAAGAAAAGCUGCAGGUUGAUACCCCGCUGUUCUGACGGUACCCAAUGAAUAAGCACCGGCUAACUACGUG
rnacentral:rRNA from 1 species